rnacentral:tRNA from 4 species
GUGGUAGUAGCUCAGUUGGUUAGAGCAUCGGAUUGUGGUUCCGAGGGUCGAGGGUUCGAGUCCCUUUUACCACCCCA